rnacentral:rRNA from 1 species
GCGUGCAGGAAGACGGCCCUCUGGUUUGUAAACUGCUUUUAUAUGGGAAGAAACCCGGGAUGCGUUCCGGGCUGACGGUACCAUAUGAAUAAGGAUCGGCUAACUUCGUGCCAGCAGCCGCGGUAAGACGAAGGAUCCAAGCGUUGUCCGGAUUUACUGGGUUUAAAGGGUGCGUAGGCGGAAGAUUAAGUCAGUGGUGAAAGCCCGCAGCUCAACUGCGGAACUGCCAUUGAAACUGAUUUUCUUGAAUACGGUUGAGGUAGAUGGAAUAUAACAUGUAGCGGUGAAAUGCUUAGAUAUGUUAUAGAACACCAAUUGCGAAGGCAGUCUACUAAGCCGUGAUUGACGCUGAGGCACGAAAGCGUGGGGAGCGAACAGGAUUAGAUACCCUGGUAGUCCACGCUGUAAACGUUGAUUACUCGCUGUUGGCGAUACAAAGUCAGCGGCUAAGCGAAAGCGUUAAGUAAUCCACCUGGGAAGUACGACCGCAAGGUUGAAACUCAAAGGAAUUGACGGGGGCCCGCACAAGCGGAGGAGCAUGUGGUUUACUUCGAUGAUACGCGAGGAACCUUACCUGGGCUUAAAUGUCGUGCGACAAUU